UCAGGAAGGCCUUGUAUGUGAAGAAUGUUCCUGGGAAUGAAAUCUGCCAUUUAGACAAAGAGAGACAAAGGAAAACUUGAAGAUGGAGGAUUAAAUCAAACUCAGCAGCACCACAAAACCUUUAAAAAAAGAUUGGUUUAAAUGCCCUUUAAGACUGCAGGUACCAAAAAUGCAGGCACCCACGGUAGAGCAUUUAGAAUCCUUCACUAACGCUAAAUGUUUAAGGAAAGUGACUGAGAAUAGAGUGAUGGUCUCUCCUGAGGAAAGAGAACUGCAAAGCUAGGGAGGAGAGAGAAGAAUCAAAAGGAAGAGGAAAUGGGAGCCCCUUUCAAAGUCAGCAUAAGAGUGUGAAAACCCCCAGCUGAACAGGAAACUGGUCAAUUAUUAAAGGAUUACAUCAUCA